rnacentral:rRNA from 1 species
UAGGGAAUAUUGCACAAUGGGGGAAACCCUGAUGCAGCAACGCCGCGUGAAGGAAGAAGGGUUUCGGCUCGUAAACUUCUAUCAAUAGGGAUGAAAAAAAGUGACAGUACCUAAAUAAGAAGCCCCGGCUAACUACGUGCCAGCAGCCGCGGUAAUACGUAGGGGGCAAGCGUUAUCCGGAAUUACUGGGUGUAAAGGGAGAGUAGGCGGCAUGGUAAGUUAGAUGUGAAAGCCUCGGGCUUAACCUGAGGAUUGCAUUUAAAAGCUAUCAAGCUAGAGUACAGGAGAGGAAAGCGGAAUUCCUAGUGUAGCGGUGAAAUGCGUAGAUAUUAGGAGGAACACCAGUGGCGAAGGCGGCUUACUGGACGGUAACUGACGUUGAGGCUCGAAAGCGUGGGGAGCAAACAGGAUUAGAUACCC